GCUAGUAAUCGCAGAUCAGCAUGCUGCGGUGAAUACGUUCCCGGGUCUUGUACACACCGCCCGUCACACCAUGGGAGUCGGAAAUGCCCGAAGUCAGUGGCCCAACCGGAAGGAGGGAGCUGCCGAAGGCAGGUCCGGUGACUGGGGUGAAGUCGUAACAAGGUAAC
rnacentral:rRNA from 1 species